rnacentral:rRNA from 1 species
UACGUAGGUGACAAGCGUUGUCCGGAUUUACUGGGCGUAAAGAGCGCGCAGGCGGUCGAUCAAGUCGAGUGUGAAAGCCCCCGGCUCAACUGGGGAGGGUCAUUCGAUACUGAUCGACUCGAAGGCAGGAGGGGGUAGUGGAAUUCCCGGUGUAGUGGUGAAAUGCGUAGAUAUCGGGAGGAACACCAGUGGCGAAGGCGACUACCUGGCCUGUUCUUGACGCUGAGGCGCGAAAGCUAGGGGAGCAAACGGG